GAAUCUGAUUGGUUCUGUUAAGUUUUAGACACACAGUAAUGACAGCUUAGACCUACAGUGAAAAGCUCCCAGUACUGUAGUUAUAAGGAAACGGGCAACCAUGAAGUGUGGAUAUCAGAGCAGAAUUACAGCCACUUCAAAGCAAAAACGAAAAAUAAGGACAUGAAACCAGUACUGCAGUAAGGUAAAGGAAGCUAUUUAGCUAAAAAAAAAAAAAAUCUUUAGUGAUCCUUUAACUAUUUUCUCUACAGAGCCCUACAAAUACCUGUUGAUCCUACCAGAGAUGCCAGUCUAAUGAACUAUGUGCCUGCUUGCACUGCAGUGAGGUGAAAAAAUAUUGCAGGGGGCAUUGCUAUCGGCAUUGUCAUUGCUGAUUCACAAACCUGUAUCUUGUCAAUCUGUACCUGGUCUCACCAAGUCCUUCCCACUGCUUUCUAGAAUAACAGCACUGCCUUUUGCUGAAAUGCUUCCAUUGUUAGCUGCAGUAUCAGGACGGGGGAAAUGUGAGACAAGUGAAAAAAGAUUUGUCUUAUUGGGUAAUUGAAGAUUUUAGUUUUCUUUUUUUUAUUAGGCUUGUAGAUUACAUAGUAACUGGAUUUAAUACUUGUUUAAACUGUAAAACUGGAGCAUUUAGUUUUACCUAAAAUUAUAAAAAAAUGUACUUUAAUAUUUUUCAGAUACACAUCUAGACUGCUUCGGUGUGGAUAAUCAGUGAUUAAUAUGUGUAGGUAUUGGAAGCAAUAGAAAUGUUCCUCAACUGGACAGAGAGUGCAAAAAUAAAAUGACCGGCAUCUUGUCUCUACUUUAAAGUAAGGAAUGCAUAACGCUAAAGGAACAUAACUACCAGGUAAAUUGUGAUUUAUUUUGUAGUCAAUAAAAUAUUUUAAAUACA